UCCUGGCUGAGAACGGAAGCACAGCUGUGAGAUGGUGGCGGACUUCGCAGCCCCAUAAGGAAGCUGCAUUGUGUUCUAAGUGAAAUAAGAAGCUGUGGUACCCUACUUUUACAAAUGAAGAAACUGAGGCCCACAGAAGCUAAGUAAGUCAUCUGAAGUCACACAGUAAGUCAGUACAGAACCACCCUGAGGAGGUACUGUGGCCUGAAUGCCUGUGUCCGCCCAGAUGCAUAUGUUGAAACCCUACCGGCUCCCAACGUGAAGAAAGGCCAUGUGAGGACAUCGACAAGCCAGCAGGAAAGUCCUCGCCAGGGACCAGAUUGACCAGCACCUUUAUCUUGGACUUCCAGUACCCAGAAUGGCUGAGGAGCAGAAGAGGGAAGACUUAAAUCCAGAGUUCUGUCUUAAAGUCCCGGCUCUUGUUGCUCGACACACCGCCUUGCCGUGUCUCCCCAGCUCUGUAGUUCUCUGUGGAUGGAGUCCGUACCGGGCAGUGACCGUGUAUCCCACACCCUGUCAGGCAGCUCUGGGCACACAUCAUGCCCACCGCCGAGUAGCUGCAAAGACCAUUUAAUACCUGAAGCAGAUCAUGGUAGCCCUCUGCUCAGAAACUUCCACAGUCUUCCCUUCUCACCCAGGAUACAAACCACAGUCUUUUUGAUGGCCUGCAAGGCUCAGUCAAUCCUAAAGGAUAUCAACCCUGAAUAUUCACUGGAAGGACUGAUGCUGAAACUGAAGCUUCAAUACUUUGGCCAC